rnacentral:rRNA from 1 species
AUUGAACGCUGGCGGCAGGCCUAACACAUGCAAGUCGAGCGGAUGAAGGGAGCUUGCUCCUGGAUUCAGCGGCGGACGGGCGAGUAAUGCCUAGGAAUCUGCCUGGUAGUGGGGGAUAACGUCCGGAAACGGGCGCUAAUACCGCAUACGUCCUGAGGGAGAAAGUGGGGGAUCUUCGGACCUCACGCUAUCAGAUGAGCCUAGGUCGGAUUAGCUAGUUGGUGGGGUAAAGGCCUACCAAGGCGACGAUCCGUAACUGGUCUGAGAGGAUGAUCAGCCACACUGGAACUGAGACACGGUCCAGACUCCUACGGGAGGCAGCAGUGGGGAAUAUUGGACGAUGGGCGAAAGCCUGAUCCAGCCAUGCCGCGUGUGUGAAGAAGGUCUUCGGAUUGUAAAGCACUUUAAGUUGGGAGGAAGGGCAGUAAGUUAAUACCUUGCUGUUUUGACGUUACCAACAGAAUAAGCACCGGCUAACUUCGUG